UGGGGAAUAUUGGACAAUGGGCGCAAGCCUGAUCCAGCCAUGCCGCGUGAGUGAUGAAGGCCCUAGGGUUGUAAAGCUCUUUCACCGGUGAAGAUAAUGACGGUAACCGGAGAAGAAGCCCCGGCUAACUUCGUGCCAGCAGCCGCGGUAAUACGAAGGGGGCUAGCGUUGUUCGGAUUUACUGGGCGUAAAGCGCACGUAGGCGGACUUUUAAGUCAGGGGUGAAAUCCCGGGGCUCAACCCCGGAACUGCCUUUGAUACUGGAAGUCUUGAGUAUGGUAGAGGUGAGUGGAAUUCCGAGUGUAGAGGUGAAAUUCGUAGAUAUUCGGAGGAACACCAGUGGCGAAGGCGGCUCACUGGACCAUUACUGACGCUGAGGUGCGAGAGCGUGGGGAGCAAACAGG
rnacentral:rRNA from 1 species